UCUUUUGUCGGUUUCUACGAUCAAUUAGGAUAAUUUGUUUACGAAGCCUUCCUUCGCCGUUUUACGGUGUUGGAACUUCGUCGAACACGGGAUUAAUGGGGGUUGUCGGGGGAAAACGUAUCUGAGCGUGAGAGGUGAAAUUCUUAGACCGCUCGGGGACGAACUUAUGCGAAGGCAUUUUCCAAGUAUACCUUCAUCAAUCAAGAACUAAAGUGUGGAGAUCGAAGAUGAUUAGAUACCAUUGUAGUCCACUACUGCAAACGAUGACGCCCAUGGAUCGGAUAGUUUUCUGCUCUGAUGGGAUCUUUUCGGCACUGCUCCCCCUUCAACGCGAAAGCUGAGGCUAUGGUCUCAUGGGGGAGUACGUUCGCAAGGCUGAAACUUAGAGAAAUUGACGGAAUGGCMCCMCCAGGCGUGGAGUGUGCGGUUUAAUUUGACUCAACACGGGGAACCUUACCAGGACAGGACAACGGCAACCUUGUUAC
rnacentral:rRNA from 1 species